GACGAACGCUGGCGGCGUGCUUAACACAUGCAAGUCGAACGAUGAAGCCUAGCUUGCUAGGUGGAUUAGUGGCGAACGGGUGAGUAAUACGUGAGUGACCUACCUUUGACUCUGGGAUAAGCCUGGGAAACUGGGUCUAAUACCGGAUACGACCAAUCUCCGCAUGGGGUGUUGGUGGAAAGCGUUAUGGAGUGGUUUUAGAUGGGCUCACGGCCUAUCAGCUUGUUGGUGAGGUAAUGGCUUACCAAGGCGACGACGGGUAGCCGGCCUGAGAGGGUGACCGGCCACACUGGGACUGAGACACGGCCCAGACUCCUACGGGAGGCAGCAGUGGGGAAUAUUGCACAAUGGGCGCAAGCCUGAUGCAGCGACGCCGCGUGAGGGAUGACGGCCUUCGGGUUGUAAACCUCUGUUAGCAUCGAAGAAGCGAAAGUGACGGUAGGUGCAGAGAAAGCGCCGGC
rnacentral:rRNA from 1 species